UACGUAGGUGACAAGCGUUGUCCGGAUUUACUGGGCGUAAAGAGCGCGCAGGCGGUCGAUCAAGUCGAGUGUGAAAGCCCCCGGCUCAACUGGGGAGGGUCACUCGAUACUGAUCGACUUGAAGGCAGGAGAGGGAAGCGGAAUUCCCGGUGUAGUGGUGAAAUGCGUAGAUAUCGGGAGGAACACCAGUGGCGAAGGCGGCUUCCUGGCCUGUUCUUGACGCUGAGGCGCGAAAGCUAGGGGAGCAAACGGG
rnacentral:rRNA from 1 species